rnacentral:snoRNA from 1 species
CUGCAGACAAGUAAACCAACCGUGUUCCUCUCUUCAUGGGGGCCCGGUGUACAAUGGCUGCAAACAGCAGCUUCCUUGGUAGUGUACAGCGCCUGCUUCUUGUAUAGGUGGCUCUAAGGGACCUUGGAGACAGCC